rnacentral:rRNA from 1 species
GUANGGNCCGAGCGUUAAUCGGAAUUACUGGGCGUAAAGCGUGCGCAGGCGGUUUUGUAAGCCAGAUGUGAAAGCCCCGGGCUUAACCUGGGAAUGGCAUUUGGGACUGCAAGGCUGGAGUACGGCAGAGGGAGGUGGAAUUCCAGGUGUAGCAGUGAAAUGCGUAGAGAUCUGGAGGAACACCGAUGGCGAAGGCAGCCUCCUGGGCUAGUACUGACGCUCAUGCACGAAAGCGUGGGGAGCAAACAGGAUUAGAUACCCUGGUAGUCCACGCCCUAAACGAUGUCAACUAGGUGUUGGGAGCGCAAGUUCUUGGUACCGCAGCUAACGCGUGAAGUUGACCGCCUGGGGAGUACGGUCGCAAGAUUA